rnacentral:lncRNA from 1 species
ACUUCAUGUUCUUGUUCAACUUCUUCUUUACACCAAGAAUGGGGAAACCAGCAGCUUCUUGUUUAUUGAGUCGUGAACAUUAUCUUUAGUAAAUGAUAGAUCAAAACAGAUUGUGUAGCAGAUGAAAAGUAGGCCAUUCAUAAGGUGUAUUACAAAUGGAAUAGAACUUUAUCUGAAAUUUAAAUAGAUUUAUAGAUCUCCAUUUUUUCGCAAACUUAUAGCAAUCUCAUCUUGGACCUGGUAUCAUUUACUGGAAACUCAUUAUAUAGCAGAUGAAAAGUAGGCAAUUGAAAGUAUGUAGAUGCAAUAGAGUUUUAUCUGAAUUUAACCAGAUUUAUAGCUUUCAAUUUGGUGACUUAGAACUUUUAGAUUCUCAUCUUGAUCUGGCACUAUUUACAGAAAUACACUUAUUUUUUUAUCCGAAUAGUCAACUUUGUCGAUCAAUGUACAACCACAUACUGGUGAAAGAUUGGGAAAGCUUUUGGUAAGUCCAACUAGAACAACAAUACCACAUGUAGUGUACAUGGAAUUGCGUUCAUACUGACUGACAAACAUUUGGUAAUGUUACUUAUCAGGCCAAAUUAUUUUGAGACAGAAGGCCCUACACCUUUUAUCAUAACCCUAUCUAAGAACUGAAUUUUGACCAAUAAUGACUUCUUUCUACCAAAGAGAAGACAGAGAAACAUAUCACGUAUGAUUCAAACUAGCUUUAUCCACACUCUAAAAUGACCCCAUAUCAAACAUUACCAACAGGC